rnacentral:rRNA from 1 species
UGGGGAAUAUUGCACAAUGGGCGCAAGCCUGAUGCAGCCAUGCCGCGUGUAUGAAGAAGGCCUUCGUGUUGUAAAGUACUUUCAGCGAGGAGGAAGGCGUUGUGGUUAAUAACCGCAGCGAUUGACGUUACUCGCAGAAGAAGCACCGGCUAACUCCGUGCCAGCAGCCGCGGUAAUACGGAGGGUGCAAGCGUUAAUCGGAAUUACUGGGUGUAAAGCGCACGCAGGCGGUCUGUCAAGUCGGAUGUGAAAUCCCCGGGCUCAACCUGGGAACUGCAUCCGAAACUGGCAGGCUAGAGUCUUGUAGAGGGGGGUAGAAUUCCAGGUGUAGCGGUGAAAUGCGUAGAGAUCUGGAGGAAUACCGGUGGCGAAGGCGGCCCCCUGGACAAAGACUGACGCUCAGGUGCGAAAGCGUGGGGAGCAAACA